rnacentral:RNase_P_RNA from 1 species
AGAGUGCGUUGGGCUAUUACGCAAUAGCGAGGAAAGUCCGAACACCCCCGGCUCCAAUUUUGCAGCUAACCAUAAUUACCUGAAAAGAUUAAAAUAGUUAUAGAUAAAUAUUUCUGAAGUUUAUAAUGGGUGGAUGCAAAAUUGGGGUUGGGAAGCAAGAAGUGGGUAACACCCACGCUCGGUUCUAGAAAUGGAACUGAGACGGAUACUCCGACGUAAAGUCGGAGCUCCGACCGAAGCGUCGGAGGUGUCACAGAAACAAUACCGCCCAAUUUUAAUUUUUAAAUUAGGAUUGGGUAAGGGUGAAAAGAGUGAGGUAAGAGCUCACAGUUCUAACUAGCGAUUGUUAGAAGAGAAAAACCCUUCUUGGUGCAAGGCCGUGCUACCGAUGCUUCGCAUCGGAAACUCGAAAUUCGAAUAUCGAAAUACGAAAUAUUUGUUUCGGAUUUAGGAUUUCGUGCUUCGGAUUUCCGCUGCGGAGCAGCGGUGGAGUGCUGCAAAGAUCGCAUUCAGCAAUGAAUGUGACAAGAUAGAUGAUAGCCUCUGUGUUUUUAAAAAGCACAAAGACAGAAUUCGGCUUACAGACGCGCUCAAAUA